rnacentral:rRNA from 1 species
UGGGGAAUAUUGCGCAAUGGGCGGAAGCCUGACGCAGCCACGCCGCGUGAGCGAUGAAGGCCCUCGGGUCGUAAAGCUCUGUGGAGAGAGAAGAAUAAAGCCUGUGAAGAGCGGGCCUUGACGGUAUCUCUUUAGCAAGCACCGGCUAACUCCGUGCCAGCAGCCGCGGUAAUACGGAGGGUGCAAACGUUGCUCGGAAUCAUUGGGCGUAAAGCGCACGUAGGCGGCCUGGCAAGUUGGGUGUGAAAGCCCGGGGCUCAACCCCGGAAGUGCACCCAAAACUGCUAGGCUUGAAUACCAGAGGGGAGCAGAGAAUUCCCGGUGUAGAGGUGAAAUUCGUAGAUAUCGGGAGGAAUACCAGUGGCGAAGGCGCUGCUCUGGAUGGAUAUUGACGCUGAGGUGCGAAAGCGUGGGGAGCAAACAGGAUUAGAUACCCCCGUAGUCC